rnacentral:rRNA from 1 species
AUUGAACGCUGGCGGUAGGCCUAACACAUGCAAGUCGAACGAAGCACCUUAUUCUGAUUUCUUCGGAAUGAAAAAUUUGGUGACUGAGUGGCGGACGGGUGAGUAACGCGUGGGUAACCUGCCUCAUACAGGGGGAUAACAGUUAGAAAUGACUGCUAAUACCGCAUAAGACCACAGCACCGCAUGGUGCAGGGGUAAAAACUCCGGUGGUAUGAGAUGGACCCGCGUCUGAUUAGGUAGUUGGUGGGGUAACGGCCUACCAAGUCGAUGAUCAGUAGCCGACCUGGGAGGGUGACCGGCCACAUUGGGAUUGGGACACGGCCCAAACUCCUACGGGAGGCAGCAGUGGGGAAUAUUGAACAAUGGGGGAAACCCUGAUGCAGCGACGCCGCGUGAGUGAUGAAGUAUUUCGGUAUGUAAAGCUCUAUCAGCAGGGAAGAAAAGGACGGUACCUGACUAAGAAGCACCGGCUAAAUACGUGCCAGCCGCCGCAGUAAGAC